AGCCCACUGGGCAGGGCCCUCCCUUUCCAGGGCCUGGAGGCCCGCCCCCUUUGGCAGGACUUGAGGGGCUUAAGUGGGAAGUCCUGGGGGCUGGCUUCAGGUAAGGCUGGAUCCAGGGGCUCAGACCAUGGCCCCAGGAAACUGUUUCCCUCCACCUCUCGGCUCUGCUGGCCUCGGGCCUUCACUCCCACAUGCUCCCUUCAGGGUGGCCGAGAGGGCCCCAGCUGAUCUGAGCUGCUGAGUCUCGGGCAGGAGGGCCCUCUCCCUUCCCAAGGUCUGUCCACCAGCCCAGGCAUCUCCGGACCAAUCCCUGUGCCCAGGGCAGCUGGGUGAAGGCUGGGCCCCCAUCAUCACAGCCCCUCCCCCCGCAGCCCUGCAGACCGCACGGUCCCCGCUGCCCUCAGCCUCCUGUGCCUGCAGG
rnacentral:lncRNA from 10 species